rnacentral:tRNA from 1 species
GCUUUCCUAUGGCUCAGCUGAAAGAGCAUUGCGCUAACAACGCAAAGGUUUUGGGUUCAAAUCCCAGGGAAAGCA